AUGGAAAUUAUGAUUUUAUUUCCCCAAAUGAUUGAUGCUCAAUAAACUGUGCAAUCUUUUCCUCUUUUGAGAAUUUAAAUGAAAAAUCUGACCCGU